rnacentral:rRNA from 1 species
AGGACGAACGCUGGCGGCGUGCUUAACACAUGCAAGUCACGGGGGCCCCGGGGGCAACUCUGGGGUAACCGGCGAACGGGUGCGUAACACGUGAACAACCUGCCCUCGUGUGGGGGAUAGCCAUGCUAACGCGUGGGUAAUACCGCAUACGUUCUCUUUGGGGAGUCCCGAGGAGAGGAAAGCUCCGGCGCACGGGGAGGGGUUCGCGGCCUAUCAGCUAGUUGGCGAGGUAACGGCUCACCAAGGCGACGACGGGUAG